UCGCUUCUUUUCUCUUUCUCUGUGAAUUUCUUGAGAGCACAGACUACAUUCUGCUUAACUUUUUAUCCCCAGCUUUCAGCACAGUGCCUGGCGGCUUUGGCGUCUCCAAGUACCUGACCUCAGCUCAACCUGUCUUGGGUUUUCUUCUCCUCCCUGACAUUGACAACCCAGCCCUCCUAGGCACAGAGAGAUGGAGCUGAGUGUGGUUUUCCUGAAAUAAAGCUUGCAU
rnacentral:lncRNA from 10 species